rnacentral:rRNA from 1 species
UACGUAGGCAGCGAGCGUUGUUCGGAGUUACUGGGCGUAAAGCGUGCGUAGGCGGUGUCUUAAGUUUGUUGUGAAAUCUCCCGGCUUAACCGGGAGGGUGCGGCGAAUACUGAGAUGCUGGAGUGCGGGAGAGGUAAGCGGAAUUCCUGGUGUAGCGGUGAAAUGCGUAGAUAUCAGGAGGAACACCGGUGGUGUAGACGGCUAUCUGGACCGUAACUGACGCUGAGACACGAAAGCGUGGGUAGCAAACAGG